ACAACCUCAACUCAUAUGGGAUUACCCCCUGAAUUUAAGCAUAU
rnacentral:rRNA from 10 species